ensembl:lncRNA
AUAUGGCUGAAGAUGUCCGUGGAUUCUGAGAACUCCUGUGUUGUGCUGUCACGAGACUCCAGGGCUUCCUGCAUCUUCCAACCUGCCGAGGAGAAAGAUGACAUCCCAGGAGUGGGAGAGGAGAGUGUCCUGGAGAUGCUGAGUUACUCCAAGUUCUCUGACCUGGAGACUUGGCUGUGCACGCCUUCAUCGCUGCUCCUGCCGAGGGCCCUGGACUCCUCGUCCUCCUCCUCCUCUUCCUCACAUGACCACUUCUCCAACUCCCGUGGCUCCACCUGCAGUGAGCCUGGAGGGACGGUUGCAUCCUUCAGGUCGUCAGAUUGCUCCUUCCUCACUCCUGCUCUGGGGAAGGAGCUGCCGUUUCUGUCCACCCCCCUGCUCCCUAUCCUCUCUUCCACUCCUGCUGGAGCAGCGGUGCUGAGAUCUGGAAUGGGGGUCAGCAUCCGGAAGCGCCGGAGACUCGCUGCUAGUCCUGGAGGACUUCACUGGAACUCUGCAGGUUCGGUGCAGCGGGACUUCUGGUCAUCUGAUCCGUCCUCUGGGCCAGGGGGCAGCGCGGCGGCAGCGAGAUGCGAUGGAGGAGGCGGUGGUGCGAGAAGCGUCCCCGUGGCCGAAGGGGGUGGGGCUUUGGCUGGCGACCGGACGGCCUUGAGGAAAACCGUUUCAUCCGAUGAGCAGCAGGAAGGAGAGCGUCUACACCUGGCGCUGCUGAGUCGAGUGGACAGAAGCAGGAGGAAGCUCCGGGGCGUGAGCGUGAGUCUGACAUGGUUGUUUGGGUUCAAUAUCUUUUUAAUUUGCUGA